GCUGGGCAUAGUGGCACAUGUCUGUAAUCCCAAUUGCUCAGGAGGCUGAGGCAGGAUGAUCUCAAGUUCAAAGUCAGCCUCAGCAUCUUAGCGAGGUCCUAAAAAACUCAGUGAGACCCUGUCUCUA
rnacentral:sRNA from 1 species